rnacentral:rRNA from 1 species
GACGAACGCUGGCGGCGUGCCUAAUACAUGCAAGUUGAGCGCUGAAGGUUGGUUCUUGUACCGACCGGAUGAGCAGCGAACGGGUGAGUAACGCGUGGGGAAUCCGCCUUUGAGCGGGGGACCACAUUUAGAAACGCAUGCUACUACCGCAUACAACCUUUAAACACAAGUUUUAAGUUUGAAAGAUGCAAUUGCAUCACUCAAAGAUGAUCCCGCGUUGUAUUAGCUAGUUGGUGAGGUAAAGGCUCACCAAGGCGAGGAUACAUAGCCGACCUGAGUCGGUGAGCGGCCACACUGGGAGUGUGACACGGCCCAAACUGCCACGGGAGGCAGCAGUAGGGAAUCUUCGGCAAUGGAUGAAAGACUGACCGAGCAACGCCGAGGGAGUGAAGAAGGUUGUCGGAUCGUAAAACUCUGUUGGUAGAGAAGAACGUUGGUGAGAGUGGAAAGCUCAUCAAGUGACGGUAACUACACAGAAAGGGACGGCUAACUACGUG